GAAAACCCCCGCCGCUCGUGGCAAUGGCCGAAAUGUUAAUCCGGGUGAAAAGAGGCGGCCCCCGGAGAUCGCACGGACUUACUGUUGCCGAGAGACUCCUGGUUGGCGGCUGGCUUUUGAGGGAUGAGCUCUUGGACGACUCUGUGGACAGCAAAGCGCAUGAAGAGAUCCACCGCCGCCACGUUGACACUGAUGCUGUGACACAGAACCUGGAGGACCUCUCGAAUGGAGGCGCCGGGCCGAAGGGCGACGGAGGAACAGGAGCCGUCCGGCAGCGCCACGCUGCAGUGUUUCGAGGAGCGCUCCCACGCGCCCACUGAGUGCCGGUUGUCUGACUGAAACUUCUAUUGCGAGACCACGAGAAGAAAAUCCCACGUUUUUUGUCAGCGCUCUCGUCUCUGCUGUCCUCGUUGAGCGACCUGCCGGAUCGUUGUUUCCUGCCGUCCUGAAAGUGGCGUUUUUGGAGUACCAGCUUCUCCGACAUCACAAUAAUUUGUCUUGCCCACUUGAAGAACUCUGGAAUUUUGGCCAGUACAAGCCUAUUGGUUUAAAGAUGCCUUUUGGACUACAAGGAAGCUACGCUGGAAUUUCCGAUUUGGUUCUUCCCACUCGUGGAGGACGGCAGGAUCAUCUUCUCCAGAAGGUUCAUCAUGCGCUCCUGCAGCUGCAUACACUGGACCUGGA